AAGGUCUUGACCCCGCUGGUCCUCUAUGGAACUUGAACUCCAACCGCAUCAACUCUGGUGACGCCAGAUACGUCGAAGCUAUCCACACUAACGGCGCCAUAACCGGUCUUGGCAUCGGAACUGCCGUGGGUCAUGCUGACUUCUUCCCCAACGGUGGAAACUCACAACCUGGCUGUCUCACUUACAUCUGUGACCACAACCGUGCCUGGGAGUUCUUUGCCGCGACUGUCUCUUACGACCAUUUGGUCGGCAGAGAAUGCUCAAGCUCUCUCCAGAUUACCCUCAACACGUGCCGUGGAGGAGAAUUCCGCAUGGGCAAUGAUGAUUUGACCAAAUUUGGACAAGGAAGAUACCGCCUGAGCACCCGCCGACGAUACCCCUACUAAUCGAAAUGGAUUCCGAAAUAAAAUCUUGAUUUAUUAUCA